UUAACACAUGUAAGCCGGACGGGAAACACGAAAAAAUGGUAUUUUCAAUGGCGGACGGGUGAGCAUCGCGUAAGAACCUGCCCUUGGGAGGGGAGCAACAGCUGGAAACGGCUGCUAAUACCUCGUAAGCUGAGGAGCAGAAGGAGGAAUCCGUCCGAGGAGGGGCUUGCGUCUGAUUAGCUAGUUGGUGAGGCAAUAGCUUUCCAAGACGAUGAUCAGUACCUGGUCCGAGAGGAUAAUGAUCAGCCACACUAGGACUGAGACACGGCCCAGACUCCUACGGGAGGAAGUAGCAG
rnacentral:ncRNA from 1 species